UCAACAGGAAGUUAUUUGUUACCAUCUUCUAUCGAGUUUACAAACCAAAGAAAUUCCACAGGCUUUUGGAACAGAAUUAUUAUUAUUUUACACCACUAAACGUUUGGAAAUACCGACCAAUAACACACUAGCAGCACCCAUUCAGUCGGUUAUAGAUAGAUGGAGCACCAAUUCACUAGCCUGGAUUUUGAAUCGUGCAUGGAGUGGCUCAUUUGCAGGAGACAAUAGAUAGAUAGCUUAGCUGGUGUUUUUAAAUAUUUUUUUUAUCACGUUAAACCUAGUUUUUAUUCUGUUUAUGUACCAGAUUGGAAUGCAAAGUUAGUUUGCUCAAGUAACUAACAUUACUGCUUUUCUUCAUUUGUGAGUAGUUUUACUUGUGUAAUGUUAACAUCAAUGAGGACAAUAAUGCUAGAUUGCCUAACUAGUUAACGUUACUUGCUAACGUUAGCGAGCUUAACUAGCUAGAAACAUAAACUUGGCCGUUGCUAGCUAGCUAAAUUAUGGUAAAUGCGGUUAAGUUGGGUAGUUUGCCAUCUGGCCAGUAAUGGCCAGCCCCAGCAUCGUAUUCACCACAGCACCAUGUGGAUGUGAAAGCCAUGGAGGGACAGGAGUAAGGCACUACGACGGGCCAACUGUGCCAUGUUUGGGCUGCAGACAUGAAGCUUAGGUUUCUGUCUGUAAUGGGGCCAAGGACCUGAAGUCGACAGUGUGGCGGAUGCUACCUUGCAUUCUGUCAGUCUUGCCACAACCUGGGCAGGGGAUACGGCCUGUUUCAGGGACUUGUUUCUGAAGACUGUUAUUCACAGAGCCAUUCAGAAGAUCCAUGCAAUCCGGCAUGCCACAGAUGAGGGGUCCAGAUUCAGGUCACCCGUUACCUGAAAGGGGCCUCCGGUUGGAGGCGGCACACAGGGAUUCGCUGCAGUGAGGGUCAACAUCAAGUCUCGGACAACCUGUCUCAAAGCCUGCUUCUACCCCACCAAACCACAAGACUGUUCCAACAGCUGAACCCUGGGCUGACUACUGCACUCUACCACACACUUAACAGUUAUUCAUAUUCUGUACACACUGAAAUCCCUUUUGUCUACYGAACCAAUGCAGUAGUUAUGUCCCCUUACUGCACUACUAAUGUAUAUACUUUCAUAUGAUUGAUAUGCUGCAACUGCUCUACUUAUUCCACUCACUAUGCACAUGGGCAAACAAUGUCCAUAGCCUACUAUAUCCCUAUAGGCAAUAAUAAAUAAAGGUUUAUUUUAUUUUA